GGCGAGUCCUCCAACACCAACAACCUUCAACACCUCUCUCUCGUUUCGUUCAACAUCCACUCCUGCUCUCAUUCCAAGCUAUACUCAGGUAAGCUUUUGUGGUCUCUCCCUUUGCAUUACAAUUGAGGUCGGGCUUGCAGUUGCAGAGAGAUAGAGAAAGAGGUGAACCAAAAUAUAUUAUUGGGUUAGGGUCUUUCAGCGACAACUAUAUCUUUUGGGUGGCUUUAGGCUUUGCCAUCGCCGUAGAGAUUGAAAGGAGGUUUCUUGGGUGUGGCUAGACGAUGUGGGUGGCAACACUUGGAUGUGCCUGCUUGGUUUGGUAAUCUCAGUGGCAACACUUGGCUAUCAUUUUACAAAUUUUAUUUUGGAGCAGAAGUAUGGGAAAAGGCCUGAAGAUGAGCUGCCCAAGUUCUGAAGCUCAAUCGUCUAUGGCACCCAUGGGAGAGAGAAAAGGUUGAGUAUUUCACAUUGAGUGAUCUCUGGAAAUUUUAUGACGAGUGGAGUGCAUAUGGUGGAGUUUCGCAUGCAAUUCUCCUUUUGGUUUUUACUUAUAUAUGAGGUCGAAUUACAUUUGUAGUAGCUGUGCCUGCUUGGUUUCCUAAUCUGAUUGUGGGGUGAUCAAAUUUGUAAAAUGUUGGUUUUGAUUGGCUCAAAGCUAAUAUGGCAUCAUUCAAGUUUGUUAUCUGUGCAGGCUAUUUUGUAUCCGGUGGUGUUUUUUGAU